rnacentral:rRNA from 1 species
GACAUGCAGAGACUUUCCAGAGAUGGAUUGGUGCCUUCGGGAACUCUGACACAGGUGCUGCAUGGCUGUCGCCAGCUCGUGUCGUGAGAUGUUGGGUUAAGUCCCGUAACGAGCGCAACCCUGUCCUUAGUUACCAGCACGUUAUGGUGGGCACUCUAAGGAGACUGCCGGUGACAAACCGGAGGAAGGUGGGGAUGACGUCAAGUCAUCAUGGCCCUUACGGCCUGGGCUACACACGUGCUACAAUGGUCGGUACAAAGGGUUGCCAAGCCGCGAGGUGGAGCUAAUCCCAUAAAACCGAUCGUAGUCCGGAUCGCAGUCUGCAACUCGACUGCGUGAAGUCGGAAUCGCUAGUAAUCGUGAAUCAGAAUGUCACGGUGAAUACGUUCCCGGGCCUU